GGUUUCCCAUGGUCCCGGAGAAGGGGAGCGAGGGUCGGGCUCCUGAACUGCAGGCCUCAUGGCGGGCGCUCCCUGCAGUCCUUCAUUACCUGAAGAAGGUGCUCUGUGAAGGUGCAAGGAUUUGAAGGCCAAGACAGAAUUCCUGCAAGGAGCAUAUUCAAGAGUUACUGGACCAGAGUUUUCCUCUCCAGGAUGAGCCGAAUCUGGGUUUUCAUACCAUAUUCAAAGACCAUUGAUUAUUGUGACUAAGCAAAGCCUCAGUUCAACUUUCAGAAGAAAGAUAUAUUGGUUUCAUUCAAGGACCUGACUGCGGACUUCACCCAGGAGGAGCGGCGGCACCUGGACCGUGCUCAGAGGCUCCAGUAGAGGGGUGUGAUGCUGGAGGACUACAGCACCCGCAUCUCAGUGGGGUAUCAACAUUAGCAAACCAGACGUGAUCUUCAGACUGGAGCAAGGAGAAGAACCAUGGACAGUAGAGGAAUUCUCAAGUCAGAACUACUCAGCUAAGGUGCCAAAGGCAAUGCAGUGUUUUCACUCUAGGUGAAAAGGAGUAAUUAAAACCACAAGAAAGACAUCCUCCAAAUACAAACAAACUGGAAACAACCCAAAUGCCUGUGAAAAGAUGGAUGGAUAAGCAAAUUUUGUACAUCUAUACAAUGGAUUACUUUCCGCAGUAUAAAAGAAUUAACUACUGAUAUAUGCAACAGCAUGGGUGACUCAGAAUAAUUAUUCUGAGUUAAAGA